rnacentral:rRNA from 1 species
CUGAUGCAGCGACGCCGCGUGAGGGAUGGAGGCCUUCGGGUUGUGAACCUCUUUCGCCAGUGAAGCAGGCCUGCCCCUGGUGGGUGGGUUGACGGUAGCUGGAUAAGAAGCGCCGGCUAACUACGUGCCAGCAGCCGCGGUAAUACGUAGGGCGCGAGCGUUGUCCGGAAUUAUUGGGCGUAAAGAGCUCGUAGGCGGCUGGUCGCGUCUGUCGUGAAAUCCUCUGGCUUAACUGGGGGCUUGCGGUGGGUACGGGCCGGCUUGAGUGCGGUAGGGGAGGCUGGAACUCCUGGUGUAGCGGUGGAAUGCGCAGAUAUCAGGAAGAACACCGGUGGCGAAGGCGGGUCUCUGGGCCGUUACUGACGCUGAGGAGCGAAAGCGUGGGGAGCGAACA